UACGUAGGGCGCGAGCGUUGUCCGGAAUUAUGGCGUAAAGAGCUCGUAGGCGGUUUUGUCGCGUCGGCUGUGAAAACUCGGGGCUCAACCCCGAGCCUGCAGUCGAUACGGGCAAACUAGAGUGUGGUAGGGGAGACUGGAAUUCCUGGUGUAGCGGUGAAAUGCGCAGAUAUCAGGAGGAACACCGGCGGCGAAGGCGGGUCUCUGGGCCAUAACUGACGCUGAGGAGCGAAAGCGUGGGGAGCGAACAGG
rnacentral:rRNA from 1 species